rnacentral:tRNA from 1 species
UGGAGGAGUAGCGAAGUGGCUAAACGCGACGGACUCUAAAUCCGUUCCUUAGGGUUCAGUGGUUCGAAUCCACUCUCCUCCAU